rnacentral:rRNA from 1 species
GCCCUUCGGGGUACACGAGCGGCGAACGGGUGAGUAACACGUGGGUAAUCUGCCCUGCACUCUGGGAUAAGCCUGGGAAACUGGGUCUAAUACCGGAUACGACAACAUCUCGCAUGAGGAGUUGUGGAAAGUUCCGGCGGUGCAGGAUGGGCCCGCGGCCUAUCAGCUUGUUGGUGGGGUAAUGGCCUACCAAGGCGACGACGGGUAGCCGGCCUGAGAGGGCGACCGGCCACACUGGGACUGAGACACGGCCCAGACUCCUACGGGAGGCAGCAGUGGGGAAUAUUGCGCAAUGGGCGAAAGCCUGACGCAGCGACGCCGCGUGAGGGAUGACGGCCUUCGGGUUGUAAACCUCUUUCAGUGCCGACGAAGCGAAAGUGACGGUAGGUACAGAAGAAGCACCGGCCAACUACGUGCCAGCAGCCGCGGUAAUACGUAGGGUGCGAGCGUUGUCCGGAAUUAUUGGGCGUAAAGAGCUCGUAGGCGGUUUGUUGCGUCGGCUGUGAAAACUCGGGGCUUAACUCUGAGCUUGCAGUCGAUACGGGCAGACUUGAGUUCGGCAGGGGAGACUGGAAUUCCUGGUGUAGCGGUGAAAUGCGCAGAUAUCAGGAGGAACACCGGUGGCGAAGGCGGGUCUCUGGGCCGAUACUGACGCUGAGGAGCGAAAGCGUGGGGAGCGAACAGGAUUAGAUACCCUGGUAGUCCACGCCGUAAACGUUGGGCGCUAGGUGUGGGGGGUCAUUCCACGGGCCUCCGUGCCGCAG